rnacentral:rRNA from 1 species
UACAGAGGUCUCAAGCGUUGUUCGGAUUCAUUGGGCGUAAAGGGUGCGUAGGUGGCGCCGUAAGUCGGGUGUGAAAUUUCGGAGCUUAACUCCGAAACUGCAUUCGAUACUGCGGUGCUUGAGGACUGGAGAGGAGACUGGAAUUCAUGGUGUAGCAGUGAAAUGCGUAGAGAUCAUGAGGAAGACCAGUGGCGAAGGCGGGUCUCUGGACAGUUCCUGACACUGAGGCACGAAGGCUAGGGGAGCAAACAGG